UGCUGAAUUAUUCGCCAAUGCGCGAAAGCGUGACGGUGCGACGCCGCGUGCGGGACGCAGGCCUUCGGGUUGUAAACCGCUGUCAAGGUAUAGAAAACCGUCGGAGUUAAUAGCUCCGGCGCUGAUCCUACCUAAAGGAAGCACAGGCUAACCUCGUGCCAGCAGCCGCGGUAAUACGGGGUGUGCGAGCGUUGUUCGGAAUCACUGGGCAUAAAGGGUGCGUAGGCGGUGCGCCAAGUCGGGUGUGAAAUCCCUUCGCUUAACGGAGGAACUGCAUUCGAUACUAGCGUGCUAGAGGGUAAAAGGGGCAAGCGGAAUUCUAGGUGUAGCGGUGGAAUGCGUAGAUAUCUGGGAGAACGCCGAGGGCGAAGGCAGCUUGCUGGGUUACUUCUGACGCUGAGGCACGAAAGCUAGGGGAGCAAACA
rnacentral:rRNA from 1 species